rnacentral:miRNA from 1 species
AUCCCCGUCUGUGUGUUUCAGG